rnacentral:lncRNA from 1 species
GGUUUGUUUAAAUGUACUUGGUUUUGCUCAUGGUUUUGUUUAUUUUGUGAAGUGGUUCUUGAGGCUGUUAUGUUUAGAUACGCCUUGAAUUUUGAUGAAUAUGCAUGUUUAAUUAGAUUGAAUGCUAAAUGAUUCAUUUGGCGCAUUUUGAAUGCAGGGCAGAUUAUGUAGGACUUUGGUUAUGUUAACUGAUCCGGUGAUCAAAACAAAACUUAGCUAUGAACUCAGGACUAAGUCUCAGCUAGAGUUACUAUGGAAGAAAGACAUGUUAGGAUAUAGUAAGUUAGGUUAAUUUGUAAGUUAUUUUCUACACUUAAUUCUAAAUGAAAUUUAAUGGUUAUUCUUGUUAAGCUAAAAUGGGAUGUUAGUGAGAAAAUGGUUUAAUUAAAUUAUGAUUCUGCUAUUGGAUUUGCAGGGAGGAAGUUUAUGUAACCAAAUUGCGGGGUCCCAUUAGGCUUUCAAUCAUUGGUUCAUCUGCGCGAAUUUCUUGCAGGUUAAUGCACCCAUGUGAUGGAUUGAGUAAGGAAAAUCGUGACUUGCUUUGGAAGGAACAUGUUCAAAUGAAGAUUCAAGUGAAUGGACGACUUGUAGGAGAAAUAGGAGUUAGGGUUCAAUAACAUGAAUGCAUGAAGUAUAAUGGAUGAAUGCAGGUAAAUCACAAGCCACAGAUUGGAUAAAAUAUAAAAGGGGGGAGGGUAAAUUUUGGGGUACGACAGCUGCCCCUAUUUAAUCAGCUUAAACCUGAAUGGACAAAUUGCGAGAGCUUUUCGGAUAUUCAAGGUAUGGGUGGAUUAAAUACCAAAGUAUCAGAAAAAUUUCCCAUUGAGGACGGUUAUAUGGGAUGUAGGGAUGUCGACUUGACUUUUACAGGUGCAUCUGCUGAUGAUUUUAUUGGGAUAUUGAUGGAAAAUGAAGGUCAUCAUAUGCAUGUUAUGUGUAUAUUUUACCACUUUAUGAAACAUGGGGCCAUGUAUGCUAAUCAGAGCUCAUACGUUCUCAGAAUACCAUUGCAAUCAAGGGAUUUCAAAAUGAAUUGUCAGUUCAACAAUUGGAAACAAAAUCAAACAUAGAGGUUUGAAAAAGAACGGUCAUCAACCUUAUAGGUUGGGAAAAAGGUUUGUCAACCAUG